rnacentral:misc_RNA from 1 species
GUCGCACGGUUACGAGCCGCCGCCGCCGGCGUACGGCGGUGGCGGCGGUUAUGAGGAGCCGCAUCGCGAGCAUCAUCACCGUCCGUUCUCAUCGCAUCAUGUCGAGCAUGUUGCGCACGAGGGCUACCAGGGUGGUGGCGGAUCUGCGAACCAGCAGCGGACGGUGAGGGUCUUCACCAAGGCCAAGGAGGAUUUCUCGCUCUCGAUCCGUGAUGGGAAGGUCGUUCUCGCGCCAGCUAAUCCUCGCGACGAACAUCAGCACUGGAUCAAGGAUAUGAGGUAUAGCACCAAAGUGAAGGAUGAGGAGAGUCUGCCGAGCUUUGCGCUUGUUAACAAGGUUACUGGAGAGGCUAUCAAGCACUCUAUUAAAGCAAGCCAUCCCGUUAGACUGGUUCCUUACAAUCCUGAUUAUCUUGAUGAGUCUGUUCUGUGGACGGAGAGCCAUGAUACUGGUGGAGACUACCGAUGCAUAAGAAUGGUGAACAAUAUUGCGUUGAACUUUGAUGCCUUCCACGGGGACAAGGACCAUGGAGGAGUGCGUGAUGGAACUCAAGUUGUCCUUUGGGAGUGGACUAAAGGAGACAACCAGAGGUGGAAAAUUAUCCCCUACUGAUAAGUAUGAUGGAUGUGCAUUACUAUCUAGUGUGCUUGUACUAUGAGGCCCACCUGCAGAAUAAGUUCACCUUUCAGAGGUGAGUACGCCACCAUCUUCGCUUUUAUGGGCAUGAGUUGUAUGAUGGAUCUGUAGACUGUUCAGUUUGCUUUAUGUGCUUAGGGGCAUAUGAUGCCUCUGCUGCUUUUCUCU